UGCGGGUGGGGGGUUAGGUAUCCCGCGAGGCUCAUAAUCUCGCUCAAGCCGGUUCGAUUCCGGCACCCGCUA
rnacentral:tRNA from 1 species